AUGGAUUUUCAGGAAGACAUGGGUUUCUGGGAAGACUUGGAUUUUCAGGAAGACAUUGAUUUUCGGGAAGACUUGGAUUUUCGGGAAAACACGGAUUUCUGGAAAGACACAGAUUACUGGGAAGAAGUGGAUCUUUGGGAAGACUCGGAUUUCUGGGAAGACUUGGACUUCUGGGAAGACUUGGACUUCUGGGAAGACUCGGAUUUCUGGGAAGACUUGGAUUUCUGGGAAGACUCGGAUUUCUGGGAAGACUCGGAUUUCUGGGAAGACUCGGAUUUCUGGGAAGACUCGGACUUCUGGGAAGACUUGGAUUUCUGGGAAGACUUGGAUUUUCGGGAAGACUUGGAUUUUCGGGAAGACUUGGACUUCUGGGAAGACUUGGAUUUCUGGGAAGACUCGGAUUUCUGGGAAGACUUGGAUUUUUGGGAAGACUUGGAUUUUCGGGAAGACUUGGAUUUCUGGGAAGACUCGGAUUUCUGGGAAGACUUCGAUUUCUGGGAAGACUCGGAUUUCUGGGAAGACUCGGAUUUCUGGGAAGACUUGGAUUUUCGGGAAGACUUGGAUUUUCGGGAAGACUUGGACUUCUGGGAAGACUUGGAUUUCUGGGAAGACUCGGAUUUCUGGGAAGACUUGGACUUCUGGGAAGACUCGGAUUUCUGGGAAGACUUGGACUUCUGGGAAGACUUGGAUUUUCGGGAAGACUUGGAUUUUCGGGAAGACUUGGAUUUUCGGGAAGACUUGGACUUCUGGGAAGACUUGGACUUCUGGGAAGACUUGGAUUUUCGGGAAGACUUGGAUUUUCGGGAAGACUUGGAUUUCUGGGAAGACUUGGACUUCUGGGAAGACUUGGAUUUUCGGGAAGACUUGGAUUUCUGGGAAGACUUGGAUUUUCGGGAAGACUUGGAUUUUCGGGAAGACUUGGAUUUCUGGGAAGACUUGGAUUUUCGGGAAGACUUGGAUUUUCGGGAAGACUUGGAUUUCUGGGAAGACUUGGAUUUUCGGGAAGACUUGGAUUUUCGGGAAGACUUGGAUUUUCAGGAAGACUUGGACUUCUGGGAAGACUUGGAUUUCUGGGAAGACUUGGAUUUCUGGGAAAACGUAGAUUUUCUGGAAGACUUAGAUUUUCCGGAAGACUUAGAUUUUCAGGAAGACUUGGAUUUUCAGGAAGACUUGGAUUUUCGGGAAGACUUGGAUUUUCGGGAAGACUUCGAUUUCUGGGAAGACUUCGAUUUUCCGGAAGACUUGGAUUUCUGGGAAGACUUCGAUUUUCCAGAAGACUUGGAUUUCUGGGAAGACUUCGAUUUUCCAGAAGACGUGGAUUUUCGGGAAGACAUGGAUCUUUGGGAAGACAUGGACUUUUGGGAAGACUUGGAUUUUCAGGAAGACUUAGAUUUCUGGGAAGACUUGGAUUUUUGGGAAGACAUAGAUUUUCAUGAAGACGUAGAUUUUUGGGAAGACAUGGAUUUUCGGGAAGACUUCGAUUUCUGGGAAGACUUGGAUUAUUUGGAAGACGGUGGAUUUUCAGGAAGACAUGGAUUUUGGGGAAGACGUUGA
rnacentral:lncRNA from 1 species